ACGAAGUCUGACGGAGCACGCCGCGUGAGUGAUGAAGGCUUUCGGGUCGUAAAACUCUGUUGUUAGGGAAGAACAAGUGCUAGUUGAAUAAGCUGGCACCUUGACGGUACCUAACCAGAAAGCCACGGCUAACUACGUGCCAGCAGCCGCGGUAAUACGUAGGUGGCAAGCGUUAUCCGGAAUUAUUGGGCGUAAAGCGCGCGCAGGUGGUUUCUUAAGUCUGAUGUGAAAGCCCACGGCUCAACCGUGGAGGGUCAUUGGAAACUGGGAGACUUGAGUGCAGAAGAGGAAAGUGGAAUUCCAUGUGUAGCGGUGAAAUGCGUAGAGAUAUGGAGGAACACCAGUGGCGAAGGCGACUUUCUGGUCUGUAACUGACACUGAGGCGCGAAAGCGUGGGGAGCAAACAGGAUUAGAUACCCUGGUAGUCCACGCCGUAAACGAUGAGUGCUAAGUGUUAGAGGGUUUCCGCCCUUUAGUGCUGAAGUUAACGCAUUAAGCACUCCGCCUGGGGAGUACGGCCGCAAGGCUGAAACUCAAAUGAAUUGACGGGG
rnacentral:rRNA from 2 species